rnacentral:rRNA from 1 species
UGGGGAAUAUUGGUCAAUGGACGCAAGUCUGAACCAGCCAUGCCGCGUGGAGGAUGAAGGUCCUCUGGAUUGUAAACUUCUUUUAUCUGGGACGAAACACUUCUUUUCUAAGAGGCCUGACGGUACCAGAUGAAUAAGCACCGGCUAACUCCGUGCCAGCAGCCGCGGUAAUACGGAGGGUGCAAGCGUUAUCCGGAUUCACUGGGUUUAAAGGGUGCGUAGGUGGGUAUGUAAGUCAGUGGUGAAAUCCCCGAGCUUAACUUGGGAACUGCCAUUGAUACUAUAUAUCUUGAAUACCGUAGAGGUAAGCGGAAUAUGUCAUGUAGCGGUGAAAUGCUUAGAUAUGACAUGGAACACCAAUUGUGAAGGCAGCUUACUAUGCGGUGAUUGACACUGAGGCACGAAAGCGUGGGUAGCAAACA